GAUGAAGAACGCAGCGAAAUGCGAUAAGUAAUGUGAAUUGCAGAAUUCAGUGAAUCAUCGAAUCUUUGAACGCACAUUGCGCCCGCCAGUAUUCUGGCGGGCAUGCCUGUUCGAGCGUCAUUUCAACCAUCAAGCCCCCGGCUUGUGUUGGGGACCUGCGGCUGCCGCAGGCCCUGAAAUGCAGUGGCGGGCUCGCUGUCACUCCGAGCGUAGUAGUUACAUCUCGCUCUGGGCGUGCUGCGGGUUCCGGCCGUUAAAAGCCUUAUUUACCCAAGGUUGACCUCGGAUCAGGUAGGAAGACCCGCUGAACUUAAGCAUAUCAAUACGCGGAGGA
rnacentral:misc_RNA from 1 species